AUUCCCCUGCUGUGUUCGUGCUGGCCAGGAAAUUUUGAGCCAACACCAUAAAAAAGGGAACCUUCUCUUAUUGUGGUGAGCAAGCCCUUUCUGGAAGGGAAGCCUAAAACAAUAAUGAGGUGCCCACCUGAUGAAAUCAGGUUCAAAGGGACUGACUACACGGCACGUGGCGGGGGAAUU
rnacentral:other from 1 species